UACGGAGGGAGCUAGCGUUGUUCGGAAUUACUGGGCGUAAAGCGCAUGUAGGCGGUUUAUCAAGUUGGGAGUGAAAUCCCAGGGCUUAACCCUGGAAUUGCUUUCAAAACUGAUAGACUAGAGAUCGGUAGGGGAUAGUGGAAUUCCUAGUGUAGAGGUGAAAUUCUUAGAUAUUAGGAGGAACACCGGUGGCGAAAGCGACUAUCUGGGCCGAAUCUGACGCUGAGAUGCGAAAGCGUGGGGAGCAAACAGG
rnacentral:rRNA from 1 species